AGAGUUUGAUCAUGGCUCAGAUUGAACGCUGGCGGCAGGCUUAACACAUGCAAGUCGUGCGAGAAAGUAUCUUCGGAUAUGAGUAGAGCGGCGGACGGGUGAGUAACGCGUAGGAAUCUACCUAGUAGAAGGGGAUAGCCCGGGGAAACCCGGAUUAAUACCGUAUACCUCCUUCGGGAGAAAGAAGGCCUCUCUUUGAAGCUUUCGCUAUUAGAUGAGCCUGCGUAAGAUUAGCUUGUUGGUGAGGUAAAGGCUCACCAAGGCGACGAUCUUUAGCUGGUCUGAGAGGACGAUCAGCCACAUUGGGACUGAGACACGGCCCAGACUCCUACGGGAGGCAGCAGUGGGGAAUAUUGGACAAUGGGCGCAAGCCUGAUCCAGCCAUACCGCGUGUGUGAAGAAGGCCUUCGGGUUGUAAAGCACUUUAAGCAGGGAGAAAAAGUUAUAAGUUAAUACCUUAUAACCCUGAUGUUACCUGCAGAAUAAGCACCGGCUAAUUCCGUGCCAGCAGCCGCGGUAAUACGGAAGGUGCAAGCGUUAAUCGGAAUUACUGGGCGUAAAGCGCGCGUAGGUGGUUUGUUAAGUUGGAUGUGAAAGCCCUGGGCUCAACCUAGGAACUGCAUCCAAAACUAACUCACUAGAGUACGAUAGAGGGAGGUAGAAUUCAUAGUGUAGCGGUGGAAUGCGUAGAUAUUAUGAAGAAUACCAGUGGCGAAGGCGGCCUCCUGGAUCUGUACUGACACUGAGGUGCGAAAGCGUGGGUAGCGAACAGGAUUAGAUACCCUGGUAGUCCACGCCGUAAACGAUGACAACUAGCUGUUGGGAGACUAUGUCUUUCAGUGGCGCAGCUAACGCUUUAAGUUGUCCGCCUGGGGAGUACGGCCGCAAGGCUAAAACUCAAAUGAAUUGACGGGGACCCGCACAAGCGGUGGAGCAUGUGGUUUAAUUCGAUGCAACGCGAAAAACCUUACCUACUCUUGACAUACUUGGAGGCUCUUGUAAUGAGAGUGUGCCUUUUGGAACCAAGAUACAGGUGCUGCAUGGCUGUCGUCAGCUCGUGUCGUGAGAUGUUCCGUUAAGUCGGAUAACGAGCGCAACCCUUACCCUUAUUUGCCAGCGAUUCGGUCGGGAACUAUAAGGGGACUGCCGGUGAUAAACCGGAGGAAGGUGAGGACGACGUCAAGUCAUCAUGGCCCUUACGAGUAGGGCUACACACGUGCUACAAUGGGAGAUACAGACGGACGCUAAGCCGCGAGGUGGUGCUAAUCCUAAAAAGUCUUUCGUAGUCCGGAUUGGAGUCUGCAACUCGACUCCAUGAAGUCGGAAUCGCUAGUAAUCGCGGAUCAGCAUGCCGCGGUGAAUACGUUCUCGGGUCUUGUACACACCGCCCGUCACACCAUGGAAGUGGAUUGCACCAGAAGUAGAUAGUCUAACCUUAGGGAGGGCGUUUACCACGGUGUGA
rnacentral:rRNA from 1 species